rnacentral:rRNA from 1 species
GACGAACGCUGGCGGCGUGCUUAACACAUGCAAGUCGAACGAUGAAGCUGGAGCUUGCUCUGGUGGAUUAGUGGCGAACGGGUGAGUAACACGUGAGUAACCUGCCCUCCACUCUGGGAUAAGCGCUGGAAACGGCGUCUAAUACCGGAUAUGAGCUUCCACCGCAUGGUGGGGGUUGGAAAGAAUUUCGGUGGGGGAUGGACUCGCGGCCUAUCAGCUUGUUGGUGAGGUAAUGGCUCACCAAGGCGACGACGGGUAGCCGGCCUGAGAGGGUGACCGGCCACACUGGGACUGAGACACGGCCCAGACUCCUACGGGAGGCAGCAGUGGGGAAUAUUGCACAAUGGGCGCAAGCCUGAUGCAGCAACGCCGCGUGAGGGAUGACGGCCUUCGGGUUGUAAACCUCUUUUAGCAGGGAAGAAGCGAAAGUGACGGUACCUGCAGAAAAAGCACCGGCUAACUACGUGCCAGCCGCCGCGGUAACAC